rnacentral:rRNA from 1 species
UACGAGGGGGGCAAGCGUUGUUCGGAAUUAUUGGGCGUAAAGGGCGCGUAGGAGGUGCUGUAAGUCUGUGGUGAAAUCUCUGGGCUCAACUCAGAGUCUGCCAUAGAAACUGCAGUGCUGGAGUGUGGGAGAGGUGAGUGGAAUUCCCGGUGUAGCGGUGAAAUGCGUAGAUAUUGGGAGGAACACCAGUGGCGAAGGCGGCUCACUGGACCGGUUCUGACGCUGAGGCGCGAAAGCGUGGGGAGCAAACGGG